rnacentral:rRNA from 1 species
GCUUACACAUGCAGUCGAACGGCUGUAGCAAUACAGCAGUGGCGGACGGGUGAGUAACGCGUGGGAACGUGCCCUGAGGUACGGAAUAACUGCGGGAAACUGCAGCUAAUACCGUAUGAGCCCGAGCAAUCGGGGAAAGAUUUAUCGCUUAGGAGCGGCCGCGUCGGAUUAGCUAGUUGGUGGGGUAACGGCUACCAAGGCUUCGAUCCGUAGCUGGUCUGAGAGGACGAUCAGCCACACUGGGACUGAGACACGGCCCAGACUCCUACGGGAGGCAGCAGUGGGGAAUCUUGCGCAAUGGGCGAAAGCCUGACGCAGCCAUGCCGCGUGAACGAUGAAGGCCUUAGGGUUGUAAAGUUCUUUUACCCGUGACGAUGAUGACGGUAACGGGAGAAUAAGCUCCGGCUAACUUCGUGCCAGCAGCCGCGGUAAUACGAAGGGGGCUAGCGUUGUUCGGAAUUACUGGGCGUAAAGCGCGCGCAGGCGGUUCGAUAAGUUGGGGGUGAAAUCCCCGGGCUCAACCCGGGAAUGGCCUUCAAGACUGUCGAGCUAGAGGACGAGAGAGGUGAGUGGAAUUCCCAGUGUAGAGGUGAAAUUCGUAGAUAUUGGGAAGAACAC